rnacentral:rRNA from 1 species
UACGAAGGGGGCAAGCGUUGUUCGGAAUUACUGGGCGUAAAGGGCGCGUAGGCGGCUUAUCAAGUCAGGCGUGAAAUUCCCGGGCUCAACCUGGGGGCUGCGCUUGAUACUGAUUGGCUUGAAUGCGGGAGAGGAUAGUGGAAUUCCCAGUGUAGAGGUGAAAUUCGUAGAUAUUCGCAAGAACACCAGUGGCGAAGGCGGCUCACUGGCCCGAUACUGACGCUGAGGCACGAAAGCGUGGGGAGCAAACAGG